UACGUAGGGGGCAAGCGUUGUCCGGAUUUAUUGGGCGUAAAGAGCGUGUAGGCGGCCAGGUAGGUCGGUUGUGAAAACUGGAGGCUUAACCUCCAGACGUCGACCGAAACCAUCUGGCUAGAGUCCGGAAGAGGAGAGUGGAAUUCCUGGUGUAGCGGUGAAAUGCGCAGAUAUCAGGAGGAACACCGAUGGCGAAGGCAGGUCUCUGGGCCGAUACUGACGCUGAGGAGCGAAAGCGUGGGGAGCGAACAGG
rnacentral:rRNA from 1 species